rnacentral:misc_RNA from 1 species
CGAAACAAGAUGGUGGCACGGCAAUUGUAAACAUUCGAUGUCAAAUAAAUUAAGCGACAUUUCGUGGAUAAUAAUGGAUUGUAAAUUAUUUUCACCUUGCAGAAUUGAAGCAAAGGUAUUUUUAUUCAUCUAGGUACAAAGUUUACCGACUUUAUAAUGUUUUAGAAAUCGAAUUUAUGCUACACUGCUUUCAUACUUACCGUUUAGACGUCGAAAAGGCUUUGAUAGUAAAAAUGUAAAAUGUCAGAAUAUUAAAUGUUUAAAGUCAAAUGACAACUUUUUCACGUCUAAUUAUUUGGACUAAUUAAUUAUCAUACUGCUUGCAAACGAUAACUGAUAAAACUUCAACUUACACCAGAUAUCCUCUCUAAAUAUCCAGUAAAACAAGCAACACAAAGCAAAGUCAGACAAGAUGAUGCCAUGACAUAAAUAUUGCAAUUAUUUUUGGAAAACGUGAAGCACGCGGGGAUUUCCGAUAAUCUAUUUUAACUCACCACGUCACAUAAAACAGCUCAACAUUUCAGUCAUGUCUACGAUUACAGAAAACGUGUGUACUGAUAAAAAUGCAGCUGAUCAAGAUUUAACUUUAAAGAUACCAAAAUUACCUGACGGAAAGACGAAACAUUUCUUUGUUUCGUAUAACAGUUUAGACAAACAACGUGUAUUUGCUAUCGUUGAUGAAGUAGAGAAACGAUUCGGACUCCAUUGCGUUUAUGAUGAACGAGAUUUUCAAGCCGGGAAGGAUAUAUCUGUGAAUAUACGUGAAGGAAUGAUGAUUUCUUUGAAGGUGUUACUUUUUCUUACACCGAACUUUCUUCAAAGCGGGUGGUGCAAGUAUGAAACAGAUGCUGCAUUUGUUUUAUCGAUGGGUUGUGGAUAUAGUUGUAUUGUACCAGUCCUGCUUGAAGAGUGUGAGAUACCACCGACACUUGUGACAUUGACUUACAUUGAUGCAACAAUCACUGGAAUAGAUGUGCCUGAGAAAAUAGCCUCCGCCCUGCUACGCCACGCUACUGAUGACGGUUUAUUCCCACUCAGUAUCAGGACGUGGAACAAGAUACACGAAAACGGCUAUUGCUAUAUCAUUCCAGCGAAGCGUGAUAACUUGUGCCCGUAUAGACCGGCAAAAUAUCGUUUUGCGGUGGACAGCAGUCUGUUAGAAAAGCUGAGAGAGAAUAGGGUUGAAGUGCCAGAAGAAUUGAUGCAGGAAACUGUUGAAAUCUUGAAUAGAGAUUCGAUAAUGUGGUCGUACGAUUAUCUAGAUAAGAGUAGGAAUUUCAUGUGGACUUUCCUUUUAAUUCCGCUCUACAUAUUGAUAUUGUGUUUAGUUAGGAGUUCCUGGAUUUUGUAUGUAGCAACAAGAGAAAGAAAAGACCCCACCAUGCUAUCUUACAUUUCAUUGAUGAUGUAUAUCUUCAUGCCAGUGUCAUUUGUAGUGGUUCAGAUUCCGGUCUGUCUAAUACCAAACGUCUGUUUUCGAAAGAAGCGUGAGGUAUCUUUACAAGCAAAACUGUGGCGGAAAGUUGGUAAACGGUUAUUCUUCUGUUCACUGGAAGAAGGAAUAUGAAACCAACUCUACAUGUGAUGCGAUAUGACAUAGCAAGAUGCAAGGAGUACUUUGUUGGAAUCCUUAAGGCAAGGAAACUAACUCCAGCCGACCGGACACUGACACCUGAGACAUAUGCUGAUACGUUAAUUGAAAGGCAUUUGUUGGAGAUCUCAAGUACACUUGCAGAUGACUUUGACUUUCUUC